AUUGAACGUUGGCGGGAGGCCUAACACAUGCAAGCCGAGCGAGCGGCGGACGGGUGAGAAAUGUCUGGGAAACUGCCUGUUGGAGGGGGAUAACUACUGGAAACGGUAGCUAAUACCGCAUAUCAUCAGAUUUGCCAAGAGGGGAUUAGCUAGUUGGUAGGGUAACGGCUUACCUAGGCAACGAUCCAUAGCUGGUCUGAGAGGAUGAACAGCCACACUGGAACUGAGACACGGUCCAGACUCCUACGGGAGGCAGCAGUAGGGAAUAUUCCACAAUGGGCGAAAGCCUGACAGAGCAAUGCCGCGUGUGUGAAGAAGGCCUUCGGGUUGUAAAGCACUUUCAGCAGGGAGGCGUUACCCGCAGAGAAAGCAACGGCUAACUCCGUGCCAGCAGCCGCGGUAAUAC
rnacentral:rRNA from 1 species